CCUACGGGAGGCAGCAGUGAGGAAUAUUGGUCAAUGGACGAGAGUCUGAACCAGCCAAGUAGCGUGAAGGAUGACUGCCCUAUGGGUUGUAAACUUCUUUUAUAUGGGAAUAAAAUGUUCCACGUGUGGGAUUUUGUCUGUACCAUAUGAAUACGGAUCGGCUAACUCCGUGCCAGCAGCCGCGGUAAUACGGAGGUUCCGGGCGUUAUCCGGAUUUAUUGGGUUUAAAGGGAGCGUAGGUGGAUUGUUAAGUCAGUUGUGAAGGUUUGCGGCUCAACCGUAAAAUUGCAGUUGAAACUGGCAGUCUUGAGUACAGUAGAGGUGGGCGGAAUUCGUGGUGUAGCGGUGAAAUGCAUAGAUAUCACGCAGAACUCCGAUUGCGAAGGCAGCUACUAAGCCAUAACUGACACUGAAGCACGAAAGCGUGGGGAUCAAACAGGAUUAGAUACCCGAGUAGUC
rnacentral:rRNA from 1 species